rnacentral:lncRNA from 1 species
GGCGAACAGCUCGUCCAGCGGAUGCCUCGCUGCCGGCGAGGGUACAUCCACGUCGUGAACAACGACUUCACGGAGUGGGAGAUGUACGCGAUCGGUGGUAGCGGGCAUCCGACGAUCAACAGCCAGGGGAAUCGCUACGUCGCUCCUUCGAACCCUAAUGCAAAAGAGGUGAGAAAAAAUUGAGCGUUUUCGGGGAAACUUGGAGUAUUCUUAUUUGCUUACUCACCAUUUUUAUUGCCGCAGGUGACGAAGAGGCUGGACUCCGGCGACGGAGAAUGGAAGGGGUGGAACUGGAGGUCGGAAGGGGAUAUAAUGGUGAACGGAGCUUUCUUUGUGUCGUCGGGGGAGGAGUUGGAGGUGAAGUAUGAGAAGGC